rnacentral:rRNA from 1 species
GACGAACGCUGGCGGCGUGCUUAACACAUGCAAGUCGAACGGGCCUUGUCCCCUUUUUUUUGGGGGUGGGGUUAGUGGCGAACGGGUGAGUAACACGUGAGUAACCUGCCCCUCACUUCUGGAUAACCGCUUGAAAGGGUGGCUAAUACGGGGUGUUCUGGCCUGCUCGCAUGGGUGGGUUUGGAAAGAUUCGACCGGUUUUGGUUGUUUUGGUGGGGGAUGGGCUCGCGGCCUAUCAGCUUGUUGGUGGGGUGAUGGCCUGCCAAGGCUUUGACGGGUAGCCGGCCUGGGAGGGUGGGCGGUCACACUGGGACUGAGACACGGCCCAGACUCCUACGGGAGGCAGCAGUGGGGAAUAUUGCACAAUGGGCGCAAGCCUGAUGCAGCGACGCCGCGUGAGGGAUGGAGGCCUUCGGGUUGUGAACCUCUUUCGCCAGUGAAGAAGGUCCUGCUCUUUGUGGUGGGGUUGACGGUAGCUGGGUUAAUGAAGCGCCGGCUAACUACGUG